CCCAUAGACGUUCUGGGCCGCACGCGCGCUACACUGACCAGUGCAACAAGCAUCCGUCCUUGGCCGACAGGCCCGGGCAAUCUUUGAACGCUGGUCGUGAUGGGGAUAGACUUUUGCAAUUUUUGGUCUUCAACGAGGAAUUCCUAGUAAACGCAAGUCAUCAACUUGCAUUGAUUACGUCCCUGCCCUUUGUACACACCGCCCGUCGCACCUACCGAUUGAAUGGUCCGGUGAAGCCUCCGGAUUGGCGCGCACCUCGGUGCCGCCGAGAAGUUGGCUAAACCUUACCAUUUAGAGGAAGGUGAAGUCGUAACA
rnacentral:rRNA from 1 species